rnacentral:rRNA from 1 species
UAAUACGGGGGGGGCUAGCGUUGUUCGGAAUUACUGGGCGUAAAGGGCGCGUAGGCGGCUGAGCAGGUCCGGUGUGAAAUCCCUCGGCUUAACUGAGGAAUUGCGCUGGAAACCGCUCGGCUAGAGUACAGGAGAGGAGGGCGGAAUUCUCGGUGUAGCGGUGAAAUGCGUAGAUAUCGAGAAGAACACCGGUGGCGAAGGCGGCCCUCUGGACUGUCACUGACGCUGAGGCGCGAAAGCGUGGGGAGCGAACGGG